rnacentral:misc_RNA from 1 species
GAAAAUGGAUUUGACCAUUCUAAUAUUCAUAGCCCUCUUUGCUGUUGCAUCUUUUCUAUUAUUUGUGGUGUAUAAGUUUGGAAUCAAGGAGAAGAGUUAUGAAGAGGCACUAGCUGAGCAAAGGCAGCAAACUAAUAUCUUACUGGGCACAAAAUCCAAGCCUAAAGAGAAGAAAAGCAAAAAGGCAAAUAAAAAGCCCAAGGAAAAACCUGUCCAAGAAAAUGACGUAAAUGAGUCAGAAAAUACUGAAAAUAAAGAAAAUGCCCAUCCUAGUAAACUUCACGUGGAAUUCAAAGAAGAAACUGAAGAAGUCAUCAUCACAGAGGAGCUGAAACUAGCAUCCAGUAAGGAGUCAAACAAGCAGAAAAAGGUGAAAAAGGUUCGUCCGAUUCUGGUGAAAAAGGAACAGUCGCCCCAGAGAAUCGCUCUGGAAGUCGUUGAAGCUCCGAUUGCUAAUCAUUUUGAAGAGAUUCAACCAAAAGACGACUUCGAGUUGUUGAGAUCCAACAGUAGAGACGACAUUUUCAAACAAGAACCGGUCAAAGAGAAGGUAGUAAAAGAGAAGAAACAAACGACUGAAGUCGGCGUGACUGCCAAAAACAAGAAAAACGCGAAGACCCAACAGACCGAAGUCGGCAAGCAAGAGAAACCGGCGCCACCUCCAGAAGAAAAGGUAGAAGAGAAAGUCAUCAUCGAAGUUAUUCCGGCGGUUCCGCAGACGAACGGCAUCGUCGCAAAUACCGGUAAAGAAAAGAAGAAAAAGAAAAGCGAGUUUAACACUAAACAGCAAUUAUCUGCAGAACGAGACGGACUAAUUAACUCGGUGCGUAAAGCUGAAUUGUCUAAGACUGAGAUACAAUAUCUUAUUGAUCUAUUACUAAACAAGCAGCUUGAGGCUCCUGCAGUUAUCGAUGAUUGGAGUGAGGGUAAAUCCGAUCCAGUUCAAAAGCUGAAAAGACAACUCGCCGAGAAAGAAAAAGCCCUCGUCGACGAACAACAGGCACUUGUCGGCGCUCAGGCCAAGUUGAGAGAGAUAAGAAGCGAACAACAGGCAGAAAAAUCACAACUUCAACAGAAACUGCGCUUAUUGGAGGAAUCGAUGCAAAACAAACAGAUAGAAAUCCAAGCGGCCGCCAAUCGGUAUCAAGUCGCGGCUCAGAAGAUGCAGCAAAUUCAAAAUGAACUCAGCGCCGAGAUGAUGAAGACACGCAAACUGAUGGACGACAACAAUGCCUUGCAGAUGCAAGUCCAGCAAUAUGAAGUUAGCAUUCCGCAAGUGCAGGAGAGUGAAGGUAUUAUAAUGAAAUUGAGGACUGAAUUAAACGACGCCGCAAAUUCCAAUCAACAACUUCAACAACUCGCCGUGGACAAAGAUCAUCAAAACCAAAACUUGCUGAUGCAGAUUGCCACAUUGAAAGAUUCGAUGCACGACGCCCAAAAGAAAUUGGAAAUUUAUAUACGCAAGGAAAACGACUGGACGAGAGAGAUGUCAAGUUUGAACACUUCGCAGCAGAAGCAAUUCGAAGAGCAACGAAACCUGGAACAUACAGUUUCUCAACUUAACGGGCUGUUGCAUAACGCCAACAGUGAAAAAGCGGAAGCAACUAAGAUAAUAGCACAGCUCAAAGCAGAUCUCCAGAAAACCAAGGAAGAGCUCAACGGCCUGGGUGAUAUACCGGACAGCAAAAACAAACACGAAGUCGAAAUCCUCAAUUUAAGUAACGAAUUAUCUUCAACCCGUAACGAACUGUCGUCGAAGAUCGAGGAAUUACAACAGAACGAACGAAAGUACAAGACAGAAUUGGAAACAUCAAACAAAAAAUACCAAUUGAUACAAAAAGAGUUGGAGGAACAGAAAACGAAGAAUAAUGAGUUGCGCACAAAGAACUGGAAAGUGAUGGAAGCGUUAAAUGCAGCCGAAAACAAGAAUAAAGAACCGAGCAAAAAGCCAGAUAUUGACGUUAAACAAUUGUCUUCGGAGAUCAUAAGUAAAGAGCAGGAUUCCCAGAAACAAUUCAUGCAACGGCUAUUCCCCGACAUCGAAGCCUUAAAGACGCUCAACUCUAGCGACUGGCAGGAUCAAUGUGCUAAACUGAUCGAGAAGUACGUCAGAUCUCUCAAAGAAGAGCAACAACACAGUUCGCAACAUUCUUCUCCUCAGAAAUCUUCCGAAGUGAUAAAAUUGCAGGCGCAAAUUGAGCACUACAAAAAUACUAUAGACGACACGGAGGGCUUGUUAAACGAACUCCAAAAACGUGUAGAGCAAGAAGAAAUGACGUGGAGGGGUCAGUUAGCUGCGAAAGAAGCAGAACUAGAGAAUUUAAAAGCUAGUCAUCUAUCGCAGAAUCCUGUAGAACUGCCAGAGUUUCAAGGAGUUGAAUUUGCCUACAAAUGCAUAGAAAAGUCGCUGCCAAUGAUAAUUAACGAGUUGCAAUCAAAACUUGUAAAUUUAGAAAACCUCUUAUCGAAGGAAGUCGAAGAGAAAAAGAAGCUUUUAGAAGAGUGCCAACUGCUUAAAAGUCAAAAGACACAAUGUAGCACGCAAGCCGACUCGACAGCUACAAUAGAAAAACUGUCAGAGGAGGUGAAUCAUUUACGAGAACAACUUAGAUUAGAACAAACUAAAAACGGAGACGUAGGAGUUUGUAUUAAAGCACAAAAUUGUAAUAAUUCUUCAAAUGGACCUUCUUUUCUUGACCAUUGUUUGUCGUCGUCGUCUAGUGUAGCUUCGUCUCUUAUCGAAGAUUAUAAAAAACCAAAGAAUAAAAAAAGAAAGAAGAAGGUAUCCAAUGUAAGAAACGCCAACAUUUGUUCAAAUAUGGGGUGUCAGUUUUUGUACUGUGAUGGUAACAGCUGCGGCAACAAUUUAUAAGCCAACGAAGUAUUUAAAAAGGCGGAGAGAAAUCAAGAAUAAGUUGUUAAAGAUUAUAAACGUUGAAAAAUAACACUAGAUUUACACUAUUUACUUAACACAUAAUUUUAACGAAAUAAUUUACAUAAUAGUAUGCGUUAUCAUUCCUUUUAUGUUUUUGUUGCGUGUGCAAUAACUUUUUCUAUGUUUAUUUGUAUUUUUAAGUUUACUUUACUAGUAUUUCGCGGCAAUAGUUUCUUAGAAAUGGGUUCUACAAGGUGGUUGGUUUCCACUCGGGUAAAAUCAGUUUUAUUUUUCAAUCCGGUGCUCAAAUUUAUGUUUUGACAAGUGUAUUUUGCUUAAUCCUCAAAAUGAAAAAACAAUCUAUAAAUUUGUAAAAUGGUGGAAACUGGGGAUUAGGUCAAUAACUAUAAGACAGUUGAAGAACCAUUUGGAUAUCUUAUCCAAUAACUCCAGAACAGUUGACAAACCAUUUGACUACAUUUGGUAUGUCCCUUCAACCUGGUACCGUAUCAGAUAUCUUCAGUACGUCUGAAGAGCUGUAGUUUUUGGGCACUUCUUUUAAUAUUAACAAUUUGGCAAUCACCUCAAAAAAUGUUUCCUAUAGAGACAAAAGCUAUUCAAAAGUGUCGCCACAGAAUUGUACCACAGAUAUUUUUUAAUACUUGUAGAACCCAUUUCCACAUCAUGCUUUUAUUAAGACUUAUUAAAUUAUCUGUGAGAUUGUAAAUUUUAAGUAGACAUGUGAAACAAUUGAGAAAAAGAACUCGUUAAAUUAAUAAAUGAAAGUACUAAAUAGGCAUCUGCUUUUUGUUAGGACGUAUUGAAGCUUAUUCAUAAGGUAUCGUUUUAGUUAAAACUACAUAGUAUAUAUUCUUGUAAGAGAAAAGGGAUGCGUAUGAAAGAAUCAAAUUAAUAUAUGUUAUUUUAAAAAUAUUAGCUUCCUUUUGUAUACUUUUCAAUAAUUUCAAUAAAUAUUUAUACUAU